CCCGUCUGUUGCCUAGUUACGACUUAGAUUGGAACGACCUGAAGCCAAAAACGACCCUCUAUGACGACCAUGGCGCUGCUGGGGGUACUACUACUAAUCGGGGUCGUUCCUGUAGUAGUCGUGGCCAGCUUGACUCCUUCUACAGGAGGAGGGGAGGUGCUGGCGGAAGCGGGAGGAGCGGUUGAGGCGGUGCUGGUGGAGGUGGGAGGAGCGGUUGAGAUGCUGGUGGAGGCGAGGGGAGCGGUUG